GAUGAAGAACGCAGCGAAAUGCGAUAAGUAAUGUGAAUUGCAGAAUUCAGUGAAUCAUCGAAUCUUUGAACGCACAUUGCGCCCGCCGGUAUUCCGGCGGGCAUGCCUGUCCGAGCGUCAUUUCACCACUCAAGCCCGGCUUGGUGUUGGGGCGCCCGGCCGCCUGGCGGUCGGGGCCCCCAAGUACAUCGGCGGGCCUGCUGGGGCUCCGAGCGCAGUAACUCGCGGUAAAACGCGCCCUCGCUCGGCGGCCUCUUCGGGCUUCCAGCCGCUAAACCCCCAGUGACGUUUUUCGAGUUGACCUCGGAUCAGGUAGGAAUACCCGCUGAACUUAAGCAUAUCAAUAAGCGGAGGA
rnacentral:misc_RNA from 1 species